ACGAAAAAGAGAAAGAAAAGAAAAUCGAGAAAAUCGUCGGGACGCCGAAAGAGCAACGGGCGACGCCCCCCGAACCCAAAUAAGGCGGCGUGCCCCACCAGGCCGUACGAAGACCCCCGUCUCACCGUCGCCCCCGCUGCCGCGAACCCCUUCGGCUCGCGGCUCAAAGGGUCGACGACGAAGACGAUCACGACCACGACGAAGAUCCUAACGAGACGCUUGGACGUUACUUGCUAUAGGAGCUCUACCGAAACGUGUACCGAAACAAAACUUUUCCUCCGUUCUUUCUUCCUUAACCAACAAUUUUACACUUUUUUUAAGCCCUUAACUUAUCAAAGUCUAAAACGACUCUUCCGGAAAUCCUCUUUUCACAUAAUCGUCUCUUAUUUUCAAACUGUAUCGAAUACUAGAGCUCGAGAUCCCCGAGAUCUCAGUUUCCUGUAUCCACCUUUGACCCCCCGGUUGAAUUUUCCGGAGGUGCGAAAACCUCCUUAAAAAUCGCAUCGCGCGGCGGAAGAUUUCUUCAAUUUUCUUUCCUUCGCUCUGAAACUUUUCUCAUUCGCUUUUCUACCCGAAUUUAUUUGAUUUUUAUUCUCGAUCCCUCCUCUGUACUUUCCCCUCAACAUUCAGCAGUGCGAUUAUUAUAAAAGUUGUUAUUUCAUUCGUCGUUAUAUUCCCCUGAAAUUUUAUCGGAAGUGACUAUAAAAAACGAUCCCGAGGGACCUCGAAGACGAUCGGAAAAACAACGAGGGAUUUGAUGGAUCAAAGUUUACCGCACCCGUUUCAACGUGAAAAGGAGGAGAGGAAAAGGAAGACGAGUUGGAGUCCUGUGAGGGUGAAGAGAGAACGAAUUUGCGUAGAAAAAAUGGUGUGAGAUAAUGUAUAUUUGCCUUUGACAAUUGACAUUGUAUAACAAUAAUAUAGUGUAAUAUUUACAAAAUAAAUUAAUUAGUAUAAUAGACGUA